UAGGUCCUGAUCUAAGAAGUACCCACUUCAUGAAUAUGCAAAUUAUUUGAGUCUAUGGUUGUAAAUACAAGGAUGUACAAUCCCCUCAACAACAUAUGAUCAGUGUCCUCUCCACAGUCACUGAGCACACAGGUCCUCACCAUGGGAUGGAGCUGGAUCAUCCUCUUCCUCCUGUCAGUAACUACAGGUGUCCACUCCCAGGUCCAGCUGCAGCAGUCUGGUCCUGAGCUGGUGAAACCUGGGGCCUCAGUGAAGUUUUCCUGCAAGGCUUCGGGCUACACCUUCACUAGCUACUUUAUGCACUGGGUGAAGCAGAGGCCUGGACAGGGCCUGGAUUGGGUUGGAGUCAUUGAUCCUGGAAGUGGUAGUACUAGGCAUAAUCAGAAGCUCCAGGGCAAGGCCACACUGACUACAGACACAUCCUCCAGCACAGCCUACAUAGAGCUCAGCAGUCUGACAUCUGAGGACUCUGUGGUCUAUUUCUGUGCAAGAGACACAGUGUUGCAACCACAUCCUGAGUGUGUCAAAACCCUGGUGGAGCAGAAAGCUGGCCCGGGACUGAGGUGACAGAGAAGAUUAGCCUGGAGUCUUACUCAGAAAUAAUCAUUCUGAGUGUCCUUUGUCAUUUCACAAUCUUUUAGGGUCCUUGUCAGCUUUUCAAAUAAGGUCAGAGGAUAAAGUGAUGAUGAUUCAGGUGUCUUAGAGAGCACCUUACCUUGACCAGCUGUUUAUCAGUGACCUCCUCCUGUGACAUGAUUCCUUUUAAACAAACUAAAAUAGUGCAAACUGUAGCAAUACAUUAUGAUAUAAAUAUCCCUUAAAUCUGAGGGACUGGCACUGUUGCUGUAGUAGCUGAGAAUAAACUAUAGCAUAAAUUAAGUAGGUAAAAGACAUAUCAACAGCAUGUGCACAAACAAAGCCCCUUUCAUAGUCCAAUUUUGUUUGCCUAAAAGAAGCACAGGCAUUUUGUUGAAAUGGGUCCCCAUAGAUUUUGGGGUAGGUGAUUUAACCUCUCCUAUGACUUCUAAUUUAAUGUCUUUAGUUAUUGACACAUCUGUUCAUGAAUUGCCUUUGGCAGUAGUAAUCAAAUCUCUUAUUGCUUUAGGAUUAGGGAUGGAGCUGAGUGUCAUGUUGUGGGGUCCCCAGGGUGUGGAGUCUGAUACUUUGACAACCAGCUGGGCUCCUGCUCAGAUAGCACUGGGGAGGGAGGAGUGGAUUCCAAGCUGGGAAUGUAGAGACCUGGUCCUGUCAUCAGCAGCCCUGGGUGCUCAUUCCCCUGUUUCCUGAAAUUGGAUUCUCUUUGUCACCACCAUCCACAUAGACUGUACCAGUGGAAAUUCAUUACCUUUUCCAGGUGUUUUAGAGGGAGGUUUACUAUGUUGAUGGUGUUUAGUAAGUUUUAGUUUAUAUUAAUUUUAAAAAUGGCCUGUUCUCUUAACCUUUGAAAUAUGUAGGAGACCACAAGGACAAGCCAGAAUGUGAACCUAUAUUUCUCUGUGCCAUCAAUUUGUGAUGCUUUUUAUCAAAUCAACAAUAAUGUGAGAAGUAAUAUCAACUUCAGAAUGAAGCUUUUUACAGUUAAAAAUUUCAUUUUAAUGAGUAGAUGAAAGAGAUAAGGUGGACACUGCUUCUUUAUUAUAUCACUGCUGCUCUAUAGCUUGUUGCAGAUGAAGGAAUAAGUUACAAAGGGCUCUGUAGAUUUCUGUCCAUAGUGGGAAAGAUGCCUGUGGGAGUGUUAAUAUCAGAAAAUUUAUUCCAAGCCCUGAUAGCAGCUUGGCUGCUUUGGUUGUUAACCACGCGAGGGCUGGCAAGCUGUUGUGCUACUGUUGGGAAGUUUCCUUGUCUGAUAAUUUGAUGACAAGUAAUGUUUAUACAGGUCCCUGCAUUUGGUUAUGAGUAGCAGUGGACAGGCAUUUGUUAAUCCAUUACUCAAGCCACAGACUAAACUAAGGGUUGGUGGUAAUUAUUUGCAUAAGAGCUUGUCAGGCUAAGGAUAUUAUUUAAUACAUAUUUGCCAUAACAUUUAUUAUUCUUGUAGGGAAUUUUCUACAGCAUUAAUUUUGAGAUGUUUCUAUGUGGAGAAUGAUGGUGGGGGGUCAUGGAUAGGACUUGUCAUACUUCUCUAAGUCCUAGAAACAUUCUCUGUAAUGGUCCAGCCUGAGAAACUUCUUGAAGGCCUUCUGUGGGUAUGGAUCAAUUAAUAUAUUAGCAUACAGAAGAGAAGUAUGAAGAGAAGAUGCAAAUAAUUUAGUAGGAAGACAGUUUAUUCUGCGACUUCCUUUUCCUUCGGUGAGACGGUAGUGCUAGCCUAAGCUGGUUCCGCAGGAUUAAAUGUUUUAGUAUAACUGGUCCAAUAGAACAGCACAACUUAUCAUUAUUUUUCCUCAAUAUUUUGAAUGAGUCUCAUAGCUGUGACACCAUGAAUGUUUCUUAGUAACAUUCAAUAGUUGAUGAGUUUCUCUUAAUUAUGCUUCGACUCCAAUUCAUUAAUGUAAAGUGUAGUUGGUUGGAACACAUUAAUAAUAAACUCAGAUUCAUCAAUACUGUUUCUACCUCACAUUAGGGAAAGAAAUCAAACAAUUCCAAUUGAUGACAUUUAACUAAGAGUAAGUCCAGAUUUAAAUCCCCUACAUGACUCUUCCUGUGUUAUCUUCUGUUGUAGGAACGGAAUCACUGUAUCUAUCUCCACCUUUUCUUCUGCACCACCCCCCGUCUCCUUGGAUCUCUGUCUCUCUGUGAGUCUGUGUCUGUCUCUCUCUCUUUCUCUCCCUCUCCUUCCCUCUGUAUCCCUCUCUCUCUGUGUCCUUAACAAUGAUCUUUGCUCUGUAUUUGUUGAACACCAUCGAAAGCAUCUCAAGGGAAAAGAAUAAGGGAUAUUUGAGAGAAACAUUUAAGAGAAUUUUACUAUAGAUUAAUAAUGUUUUUCAGCUGACUCAAAUAGGUAGUACACACUUCCUUUUCUGUCAAAUAACAUUUGCAUAUUGUUUUAUGAAAUCCUGGAUACACAUUUUAUAUAAUUUAUUUAAACGUACAUUUUCUGUUUUCAGCAAAAGGUUAUCAUAAAACACAUACAAACACUCAUGCAUUAGUCUUCAGUUAUGAACAUGGAAGAGCACACAAAUACAGGAUAGAGCUAUAUCUUAUCAUUUUAUGUAAAACUGAUUACAUAGUAAGACCUAGGCAAGUAAGGUUGAGCAUUACAAUAUUCUCUUAAAGGCAGGUUAAACAACCCGAGUACACAUUUGAUCACAGUCUGAAGGACUUCAAAUUUUAUUGUUCACUCUGGCUGUGUGAUCUAGCAAAUAUAUCAAUCUCUUAGAAUAUAAGAGCUUUUUUUUUUAAUCAUAAUUUAUUGCCACAACAGUAUAAUUUCUGUAAGCUGGUUAAAAGUACUAUUAUAACAUUUUUCACAGAAUUCAUUUAUUGACACAAUGUUUAUAUAUGUUAAUUGACAAUACUUGUGAAAUUAUGUAUUAUGCAGUAUUCUCUAAUCUCAUAUUUAUGGCCUUCCCAGACUCAGUACUCUGACCUACACUCUAAAGUCUUUACAGAUCAUGGACCUACACAGAUACAGCAUCAUCUCUUAUUAAAGAAGGUAUUUUAUGUAUCAUAGGGCAAAUGAUAUUCCAUAACAGACUUAUACUCUAUGUGAUAUAAGGUAUGUUGAGAGCAAAAUUUCUAGCAGACCUCAUCGAUGUAGAUGUAAUUCUAAAUGUUUUUAUUAAAUAUGAAAAUACAGCCAAAUGCAGACUUAAAAGCCCUAGAGUUCAGAGCAGUAGCGAAGAGCUGAGACCAAGACCAUGUUCUUUUCCUUGCUGCCACUGCUGUCUUUGCCCUUAAAAAGUGACCUACUUCCUGUGUGUCUGCCUUUUUAUUGACUUUCUGUUCUGCCUUCUUAUUGGUUGUAAACCUAACCAUGUGACCUCCUCAUCACUGCCUGUCUAUACAGACCUCCA